AGAGGCCCUCCGCGGCUGGGGUGGAACACUUGCCUCGUUGCCAUGGCAACGAAGCAAGCAUUCCACCAGGCCACUCACGCUGCCCGC
rfam:Myotis lucifugus cont2.608, whole genome shotgun sequence.